UACGUAGGGUGCGAGCGUUAAUCGGAAUUACUGGGCGUAAAGCGUGCGCAGGCGGUUCGUUAUGUCCGAUGUGAAAGCCCCGGGCUUAACCUGGGAAUGGCAUUUGGGACUGCAAGGCUUGAGUGCGGCAGAGGAGACUGGAAUUCCUGGUGUAGCAGUGAAAUGCGUAGAUAUCAGGAGGAAUACCGAUGGCGAAGGCAGGUCUCUGGGCUGACACUGACGCUGAGGAGCGAAAGCGUGGGGAGCGAACAGG
rnacentral:rRNA from 1 species